rnacentral:sRNA from 1 species
GCCAGGUGCAGAGGCGUACACCUAUAAUCCAACCAACAAGAGGCUGAGGCAGGAGAGUCAUGUUAACCUGGGAAUUCAAGACCAGCCUGGGCAACAUAUUGAGACUCUGACUCAA